AGCGGGGAAAGGUAGCUUGCUACCUGACCUAGCAGCGGACGGGUGAGUAAUGCUUAGGAAUCUGCCUAUUAGUGGGGGACAACAUCUCGAAAGGGAUGCUAAUACCGCAUACGUCCUACGGGAGAAAGCAGGGGACCUUCGGGCCUUGCGCUAAUAGAUGAGCCUAAGUCGGAUUAGCUAGUUGGUGGGGUAAAGGCCUACCAAGGCGACGAUCUGUAGCGGGUCUGAGAGGAUGAUCCGCCACACUGGGACUGAGACACGGCCCAGACUCC
rnacentral:rRNA from 1 species